rnacentral:rRNA from 1 species
GUGAGGAAUUUUGCGCAAUGGCCGCAAGGCUGACGCAGCAACGCCGCGUGGGUGAUGAAGGCCUUCGGGUCGUAAAGCCCUGUCAGGUGGGAAGAAAGGCCUGGAGAGGAAAGGUUUCAGGUUUGACGGUACCACCAGAGGAAGCACCGGCUAACUCCGUGCCAGCAGCCGCGGUAAUACGGAGGGUGCGAGCGUUAUUCGGAAUUACUGGGCGUAAAGCGCGUGUAGGCGGGGGGACAAGUCUGAUGUGAAAGCCCUGGGCUUAACCUGGGAAGCGCAUUGGAAACUGUUUUUCUUGAGUACUGGAGAGGAAGGGGGAAUUCCCGGUGUAGAGGUGAAAUUCGUAGAGAUCGGGAGGAAUACCAGUGGCGUAGGCGCCCUUCUGGACGGUAACUGACGCUGAGACGCGAAAGCGUGGGGAGCAAACAGGAUUAGAUACCCUGGUAGUCC